rnacentral:lncRNA from 1 species
AUGGAGACAGCAGAUCUAUUAGUAGACAGGAUGAAGAGAAAAGGUGGGAAGAAAAGCCACAUGGCUGAUGUGACAAGGAAGAAAAUGUACUCUUCUUUGGCACCUGUCUGCCACUUCCAUGGAAGCGUGGCUGCAGUACUUUCCCUUUUCAUUUCCUUGUUGCUAGGUCAGGCUGAAAAAUAAAGACUAAGAUGACAAUAAAAGCUCCAGUGGAAAUAAAACA